CUCACCAUGGGAUGGAGCUGGAUCAUCCUCUUCCUGGUGACAGCAGCUACAGGUGUCCACUCCCAGGUCCAGCUGCAGCAGUCUGAGGCUGAGCUGGUGAAGCCUGGUGCCUCAGCGAAGGUGUCCUGCAAGGCUUCAGGCUACACCUUCUCUUAUAAUUAUAUGUACUGGGUGAAGCAGAAGCCUGGACAGGGCCUGGAGUGGAUUGGAUAUGUUUAUCCUGAUAAUGGUGAUACUCAGUACAACCAGAAGUUCAAGGGGAAGGCCACACUGACUGCAGACAAAUCCUCCAGCACAGCCUACAUGGAGCUCAGCAGCCUGACAUCUGAGGACUCUGCUGUCUAUUACUGUGCGAGAGACACAGUGUUACAACCACAUCCUGAGUGUGUCAGAAACCCUGGAGGAGCAGGAAGCUGCCCGGGACUGAGAUGA